rnacentral:lncRNA from 1 species
CACGAUGAUGCCAACACCGUUUCUCGUUCUAUUUGUGCCCGAAUACCAAAGUUUAAACCCUGAGUUUUCUAGAUCCUUUGCCUUACGACCAACCCACUUAGUUUCUUGUAGGCACAUAAUAUUUAUCUUUCUCCUCACCAUAACUUCGACUACUUCCAUAGAUUUUCCCGUUAAGGUUCCUAUAUUCCACGUUCCUAAACGCAUUUUGCUCUCUUGAACUCUACCCUUCUGUCCUAGCUUCUUCACCCU